AGCCGGCGAGAGGACGCUGGCGGGCGGACUAGAGCGGCGCGGCCCGGCGGGGAGAAGGCGACCCGGCCAUGGAGGACGAGCGGAGCUUCUCGGAUAUUUGCGGUGGCCGCCUGGCCCUGCAGCGCCGCUACUACUCCCCGUCCUGCCGGGAGUUCUGCCUCAGCUGCCCUCGGCUUUCGUUGCGCUCGCUCACCGCUGUCACCUGCACCGUGUGGCUAGCGGCCUACGGACUCUUCACCCUCUGCGAGAACAGCAUGAUACUCUCUGCUGCCAUCUUCAUCACCCUCUUAGGCCUGCUUGGUUACCUCCAUUUUGUCAAGAUUGAUCAGGAGACUCUGUUAAUCAUUGACUCCCUUGGCAUCCAGAUGACUUCAUCCUAUGCCUCAGGCAAAGAAAGCACUACCUUCAUCGAGAUGGGCAAGGUGAAGGAUGUGGUCAUCAAUGAGGCUAUUUACAUGCAGAAGGUGAUUUACUACCUUUGCAUUUUAUUGAAGGAUCCAAUGGAACCACAUGGGAUAUCCCAAGUAGUACCUGUCUUCCAGGUGAGCACAGAACAGUUGUCUAAAGUUUUUUCUCCAAAAAAAAUCUGUUACCUUUCCCCGUUCUCUGCAUUUCUCCUGCUACUAAUGUUCAGUAGGAAUGUAAACUCUUCUUGUCAAGAUUAUUUGAGGACACCUGACAGCUAUUUUUAGUGAGAAUUAGUGAUUUCAGAAGUUUCUUUCUGAAGCAAAUACAGGCUUUCAGAAAUACUACAAAUUUAUCCAAACUUUAGAGAAAAAAAUAGCAAUUUCUGCUUAUAAAUCACCAUUCAUCUACUUUGUUAGUCUGCCAGUAUAAGAUUUUACAUUGAUGUCAUUGAUCUACACAUACUGUUAUACCCAAUUUAUGCCUUGCUUUUUAAAUCUAAUAUACAUAUUUUCAUGCAUCUACAGAGUCCAUUAUACUUAUCCUUUUAAAUAGUUGUAUUAUCAUGUUGAGUAUCGUUUAUUUAGCCACUCUACUGCUAGCUUUUGAAAUCAUCUCCAGGUUACUUUUUUGUCUUGCUCUUACAAAAAAUACUUACACAAACAGGAUUAUAAGUAUAUAAAGUGUUUAUAUAGUUAACUGUGCCUUACUGCCCUUCCUUUUCUCACAAAGGUUUUAAGGCUGCUAAGCUAAAACUCUUUUGCAUUACCGUUCAAAAUUAUUUUAUUAAUGUUGAUGAACAAUUUCAUAGAUUUUUACAGUUUGAGAUUUGGCUCCAGAGAUUGGACAACUUUACCAUACUUUUUGGAAUUUGUACUUGUUUUUCUACAGUCUUGGCUAAAACAGCAGGUUUAGUUGUUUCCUUUAGGAGAACCUGGAAUAGUAGAAGGU